rnacentral:rRNA from 1 species
UGGGGAAUUUUGGACAAUGGGCGCAAGCCUGAUCCAGCCAUGCCGCGUGAGUGAAGAAGGCCUUCGGGUUGUAAAGCUCUUUCGGACGGAAAGAAAUCUCUCAGGAUAAUACCUUGGGAGGACGACGGUACCGUAAGAAGAAGCACCGGUUAACUACGUGCCCGCAGCCGCGGUAAUACGUAGGGUGCGAGCGUUAAUCGGAAUUACUGGGCGUAAAGCGUGCGCAGGCGGUGAUGUAAGACAGAUGUGAAAUCCCCGGGCUCAACCUGGGAACUGCGUAUGUGACUGCAUCACUCGAGUACGGCAGAGGGAGGUGGAAUUCCGCGUGUAGCAGUGAAAUGCGUAGAUAUGCGGAGGAACACCGAUGGCGAAGGCAGCCUCCUGGGCCAGUACUGACGCUCAUGCACGAAAGCGCGGGGAGCAAACA